rnacentral:rRNA from 1 species
AUUGAACGCUGGCGGCAGGCCUAACACAUGCAAGUCGAGCGGAUGAAGGGAGCUUGCUCCUGGAUUCAGCGGCGGACGGGUGAGUAAUGCCUAGGAAUCUGCCUGGUAGUGUGGGAUAACGUCCGGAAACGGGCGCUAAUACCGCAUACGUCCUGAGGGAGAAAGUGGGGGAUCUUCGGACCUCACGCUAUCAGAUGAGCCUAUGUCGGAUUAGCUAGUUGGUGGGUUAAAGGCCUACCAAGCCGACGAUCCGUAACUGGGCUGCGAGGAUGAUCAGUCACACUGGAACUGAGACACGGUCCAGACUCCUACGGGAGGCAGCAGUGGGGAAUAUUGGACAAUGGGCGAAAGCCUGAUCCAGCCAUGCCGCGUGUGUGAAGAAGGUCUUCGGAUUGUAAAGCACUUUAAGUUGGGAGGAAGGGCAGUAAGUUAAUACCUCGCUGUUUUGACGUUACCCAAAGAAUAAGCACCGGCUAACUUCGUG